AACGAACGCUGGCGGCAGGCUUAACACAUGCAAGUCGAACGGGCGCUUUCGGGCGUCAGUGGCAGACGGGUGAGUAACGCGUGGGAAUCUACCUGGUGGUCUGGAAUAACUCGUGGAAACGCGAGCUAAUACCGGAUACGCCCCUGGAGUGAUCCUGGGGGAAAGAUUUAUCGCCAUUGGAUGGGCCCGCGUCGGAUUAGCUUGUUGGUAGGGUAACGGCCCACCAAGGCGACGAUCCGUAGCUGGUCUGAGAGGAUGAUCAGCCACACUGGGACUGAGACACGGCCCAGACUCCUACGGGUGGCUG
rnacentral:rRNA from 1 species